rnacentral:rRNA from 1 species
CACGUAGGGCGCAAGCGUUGUCCGGAAUUAUUGGGCGUAAAGAGCUCGUAGGCGGUCUGUUGCGUCCGCUGUGAAAACUCGGGGCUUAACCCCGAGCCUGCAGUGGAUACGGGCAGACUAGAGGUAGGUAGGGGAGAAUGGAAUUCCCGGUGUAGCGGUGAAAUGCGCAGAUAUCAGGAGGAACACCGAUGGCGAAGGCAGGUCUCUGGGCCACUACUGACGCUGAGGAGCGAAAGCGUGGGUAGCAAACAGG